rnacentral:rRNA from 1 species
CUACCAUGGUUUUAACGGGUAACGGGGAAUUAGGGUUCGAUUCCGGAGAGGGAGCCUGAGAAACGGCUACCACAUCCAAGGAAGGCAGCAGGCGCGCAAAUUACCCAAUCCCGACACGGGGAGGUAGUGACAAUAAAUAACAAUAUGGGGCUCUUACGGGUCUUGUAAUUGGAAUGAGUACAAUUUAAAUCUCUUAACGAGGAACAAUUGGAGGGCAAGUCUGGUGCCAGCAGCCGCGGUAAUUCCAGCUCCAAUAGCGUAUAUUAAAGUUGUUGCAGUUAAAAAGCUCGUAGUUGAAUUUCGGGGUUUAUACGUUGGUCGGGCUUUUGUGUCUGUACUGGCGUAAUGAAUUCCUACCUUCUGAAUAACCAGCAUGUCAUUAAUUUGAUGCGCCGGGGAAGCAGGACUGUUACCUUGAAAAAAUUAGAGUGCUUAAAGCAGGCUAUUGCCUGAAUACAUUAGCAUGGAAUAAUGAAAUAGGACGGCAUGGUUCUAUUUUGUUGGUUUCUAGGAUCACCGUAAUGAUUAAUAGGGAUAGUUGGGGGCAUUAGUAUUCAAUUGUCAGAGGUGAAAUUCUUGGAUUUAUCGAAGACUAACUUCUGCGAAAGCAUUUGCCAAGGAUGUUUUCAUUAGUCAAGAACGAAAGUUAGGGGAUCGAAGACGAUCAGAUACCGUCGUAGUCUUAACCAUAAACUAUGCCGACUAGGGAUCGGACGAUGUUAAUUUUUUAAUGACUCGUUCAGCGCCUUACGGGAAAG